rnacentral:lncRNA from 1 species
AAACCCUAAUCUUAAACAUUCCUGGCUGUAGGAGCAUGGAGUCGAGAAUCAAUAUUCUGGAUAGACUGGCACAUCCUAUAUAUGUUUGAUGGAGAGAGUGGCAGAUCUCACUAGCCACUUGUGUGGGGCACCAAUAUAAGGAUGCGGGUGCUCAUUUGAAAAAUGAGUCCACUGAAUUAACUUGAUGAAAGAGAACAUCUUAUGGAAUCCUUACUUGCAUGUUAAAGAU